rnacentral:misc_RNA from 1 species
AGGUGUUGGCGGGCCCAGCUAUCAGCAAGCUCCCCCUAGCUAUCAGCAGGGUGGUCAAGUUGGUGGCCCUUAUCAAGGAAAUGUGCCUGGUAGAGACUAGACUAAGGUUUUAUAGUGGAGAUAAAGUAGUAGUAGGAAAUGUGCCUGGUCAAUGUUGUUGGAGAAACCUCUCCUUUCUUUAUAUGAGGCAUGAACCUUCUGGUGA